rnacentral:rRNA from 1 species
GACGAACGCUGGCGGCGUGCCUAAUACAUGCAAGUCGAGCGAGCGGAACUAACAGAUUUACUUCGGUAAUGACGUUAGGAAAGCGAGCGGCGGAUGGGUGAGUAACACGUGGGGAACCUGCCCCAUAGUCUGGGAUACCACUUGGAAACAGGUGCUAAUACCGGAUAAGAAAGCAGAUCGCAUGAUCAGCUUUUAAAAGGCGGCGUAAGCUGUCGCUAUGGGAUGGCCCCGCGGUGCAUUAGCUAGUUGGUAAGGUAAAGGCUUACCAAGGCGAUGAUGCAUAGCCGAGUUGAGAGACUGAUCGGCCACAUUGGGACUGAGACACGGCCCAAACUCCUACGGGAGGCAGCAGUAGGGAAUCUUCCACAAUGGACGCAAGUCUGAUGGAGCAACGCCGCGUGAGCGAAGAAGGUUUUCGGAUCGUAAAGCUCUGUUGUUGGUGAAGAAGGAUAGAGGUAGU